ensembl:lncRNA
GGAGCGCACUAGUUGGAGCACAGUUUGAGCUUGGGGUUGCAUUGGAGCUAAGGAGCAACAUGUAUGAUCCACUGCAUUCUCUCUUUAACCAAUGGCUUUGGGAUCACCGCACUAAGUUCAUAUAAAGAUCAUUGGGCUUUAAAUCAAUCCCAAAUGGAAGCUGGCAGUACUUUUGUUAUGGAUCUCAGAGUUUUAGAAAAUGUCCAACAUAGACAACAUCCUGAAGGUUGCCUUUCCUUUGCCACACGGGCCGUUUGGAAAACUUUUGGCAAAAUUAGAGUAUACUCACUUCUCCAGGCACCAACCACUACACCACUGACCAGGACCAACCCUGCUUAGCUUCAAAGGCAAGCCAGCGGUGGGAUGUGGGGUGGUAUGCUGCUGGCAUUGUACAGUUCUAAAAUAAAAUCCUUUAUCAAACUUUGCCUGCCCUCUUUUUGCUUCUCAAAAUGUUGUGAUAAGGAUGGCUUCUAAAAUAAUAAUCAAUAAAAAUUAAAUGGAGGCAUAU